rnacentral:rRNA from 1 species
GGAAACGACUGCUAAGACUGGAUAGGAGACAAGAAGGCAUCUUCUUGUUUUUAAAAGACCUAGCAAUAGGUAUGCUUAGGGAGGAGCUUGCGUCACAUUAGUUAGUUGGUGGGGUAAAGGCCUACCAAGACUAUGAUGUGUAGCCGGGCUGAGAGGUUGAACGGCCACAUUGGGACUGAGACACGGCCCAAACUCCUACGGGAGGCAGCAGUAGGGAAUUUUCGGCAAUGGAGGAAACUCUGACCAAGCAACGCCGCGUGAACGAUGAAGUAUUUCGGUACGUAAAGUUCUUUUAUUAGGGAAGAAUAAAUGAUGGAAAAAUCAUUCUGACGGUACCUAAUGAAUAAGCCCCGGCUAACUAUGUGCCAGCAGCCGCGGUAAUACAUAGGGGGCAAGCGUUAUCCGGAAUUAUUGGGCGUAAAGGGUGCGUAGGCGGUUAAAUAAGUUUAUGGUCUAAGCGCAAUGCUCAACAUUGUGAUGCUAUAAAAACUGUUUAGCUAGAGUAAGAUAGAGGCAAGUGGAAUUCCGUGUGUAGUGGUAAAAUGCGUAAAUAUAUGGAGGAACACCAGUAGCGAAGGCGGCUUGCUGGGUCUUUACUGACGCUGAGGCACGAAAGCGUGGGGAGCAAACAGGAUUAGAUACCCUGGUAGUCCACGCCGUAAACGAUGAGUACUAAACGUUGGUUAAAACCAGUGUUGAAGUUAACACAUUAAGUACUCCGCCUGAGUAGUACGUACGCAAGUAUGAAACUUAAAGGAAUUGACGGGACUCCGCACAAGCGGUGGAUCAUGUUGUUUAAUUCGAAGGUACCCGAAAAACCUCACCAGGUCUUGACAUGCUUCUGCAAAGCUGUAGAAACACAGUGGAGGUUAUCAGUUGCACAGGUGGUGCAUGGUUGUCGUCAGCUCGUGUCGUGAGAUGUUGGGUUAAGUCCCGCAACGAGCGCAACCCUUAUUGUUAGUUACCAGCACGUAAUGGUGGGGACUUUAGCAAGACUGCCAGUGAUAAAUUGGAGGAAGGUGGGGACGGCGUCAAAUCAUCAUGCCCCUUAUGACCUGGGCUACAAACGUGAUACAAUGGCUGUUACAAAGGGUAGCUGAAGCGCAAGUUUUUGGCGAAUCUCAAAAAAACAGUCUCAGUUCGGAUUGAAGUCUGCAACUCGACUUCAUGAAGUUGGAAUCGCUAGUAAUCGCGAAUCAGCAUGUCGCGGUGAAUACGUUCUCGGGGUUUGUACACACCGCCCGUCA